rnacentral:rRNA from 1 species
UACAGAGGGUGCAAGCGUUAAUCGGAAUUACUGGGCGUAAAGCGCACGUAGGUGGCUUGAUAAGUUGGAUGUGAAAUCCCCGGGCUUAACCUGGGAAUUGCAUUCAAGACUGUCUUGCUAGAGUGUGGAAGAGGGAAGCGGAAUUCCAGGUGUAGCGGUGAAAUGCGUAGAUAUCUGCAGGAACACCCGCGGCGAAAGCGGCGCGCUGGACCACUACUGACGCUGAGGAACGAAAGCUAGGGGAGCAAACAGG